GCAGUAGUAAGGAUCUGUUUUUCAUUUAAUGGUCUUUCUCAAGGAACUUCUGAGAAAUCGGGUAACUCCUUUCUCCUGAGGGAAGAGACACAAGAGGAUGCCAAGUGAACAAGAGGCAGAGGUUGAGCCUCAAGGCUGCUCUAAAAUCAGCUGUUCUGUCUCUCGUCCCACACGGCUUCUUGGUGAAUGGACCUCAGUUUCUUUGGGACUGCUUGAAAUUGCUGUAUUUUGAAAUGCUCCUGAGCUUAAAAUAUAUGAAAAAAUGAAAUACUAUCAAA